ACAGCAGUAGCCGCGGGAAUACGGAGGGUGCAAGCGUUAAUCGGAAUUACUGGGCGUAAAGCGCACGCAGGCGGUUUGUUAUGUCAGAUGUGAAAUCCCCGAGCUUAACUUGGGAACUACAUUUGAAACUGGCAAGCUAGAGUCUUGUAGAGGGGGGUAGAAUUCCAGGUGUAGCGGUGAAAUGCGUAGAGAUCUGGAGGAAUACCGGUGGCGAAGGCGGCCCCCUGGACAAAGACUGACGCUCAGGUACGAAAGCGUGGGGAGCAAACAGGAUUAGAUACCCCUGUAGUCCCUGUCUCUUAUAC
rnacentral:rRNA from 1 species